AUUGAACGCUGGCGGCAGGCCUAACACAUGCAAGUCGAACGGAAGCAGGGAGCUUGUUCCUGGUUUCCGCGGGGGAGGGGGGCGUGAUGCCUAGGUAUCUGACAGGGCGUGGGGGAUGGGGUCAAGUACUGGAAGCUAAUGCCACAACCGCAUAGCGGGGGAAAGUCAGGGAUGUUGGGCUCCCGCCCUCUUGCCUUAGGCUAGGUCGGAUUGGGUAGUUGGUGGGGUAAGGGCCUACCAAGGCGACGAUCCGUAACUGGUCUGAGAGGAUGAUCAGCCACACUGGAACUGAGACACGGUCCAGACUCCUACGGGAGGCAGCAGUGGGGAAUAUUGCACAAAGGGCGAAAGCCUGAUGCAGCCAUGCCGCGUGUAUGAAGAAGGUCUUCGGAUUGUAAAGCACUUUCAGUGGGGAGGAAGGGAAUUAAGUUAAUACCUUUCCUUAUUGACGUUACCAACAGAAGAAGCACCGGCUAACUCCGUG
rnacentral:rRNA from 1 species